GACGAACGCUGGCGGCGUGCUUAACACAUGCAAGUCGAACGGAAAGGCCCUGCUUUUGUGGGGUACUCGAGUGGCGAACGGGUGAGUAACACGUGAGUAACCUGCCCUUGACUUUGGGAUAACUUCAGGAAACUGGGGCUAAUACCGGAUAGGAGCUCCUGCUGCAUGGUGGGGGUUGGAAAGUUUCGGCGAUUGGGGAUGGACUCGCGGCUUAUCAGCUUGUCGGUGGGGUAGUGGCUUACCAAGGCUUUGACGGGUAGCCGGCCUGAGAGGGUGACCGGCCACACUGGGACUGAGAUACGGCCCAGACUCCUACGGGAGGCAGCAGUGGGGAAUAUUGCACAAUGGGCGGAAGCCUGAUGCAGCAACGCCGCGUGCGGGAUGACGGCCUUCGGGUUGUAAACCGCUUUCGCCUGUGACGAAGCGUGAGUGACGGUAAUGGGUAAAGAAGCACCGGCUAACUACGUG
rnacentral:rRNA from 1 species